rnacentral:rRNA from 1 species
GACGAACGCUGGCGGCGUGCCUAAUACAUGCAAGUCGAACGCAUUUUCUUUCACCGUAGCUUGCUACACCGAAAGAAAAUGAGUGGCGAACGGGUGAGUAACGCGUGGGUAACCUGCCCAUCAGCGGGGGAUAACACUUGGAAACAGGUGCUAAUACCGCAUAAUUCCAUUUACCGCAUGGUAGAUGGAUGAAAGGCGCUUUUGCGUCACUGAUGGAUGGACCCGCGGUGCAUUAGCUAGUUGGUGGGGUAACGGCCUACCAAGGCUGCGAUGCAUAGCCGACCUGAGAGGGUGAUCGGCCACACUGGGACUGAGACACGGCCCAGACUCCUACGGGAGGCAGCAGUAGGGAAUCUUCGGCAAUGGACACAAGUCUGACCGAGCAACGCCGCGUGAGUGAAGAAGGGUUUCGGAUCGUAAAACUCUGUUGUUAGAGAAGAACAAGGAUGAGAGUGGAAAGUUCAUCCCUUGACGGUAUCUAACCAGAAAGCCACGGCUAACUACGUG